GGAGGAAUAUUGGUCAAUGGACGAGAGUCUGAACCAGCCAAGUAGCGUGAAGGAUGACUGCCCUUUGGGUUGUAAACUUCUUUUAUAUGGGAAUAAAGUAGGGUAUGCAUACCCUUUUGUAUGUACCAUUAUGAAUAAGCAUCGGCUAACUCCGUGCCAGCAGCCGCGGUAAUACGGAGGAUGCGAGCGUUAUCCGGAUUUAUCGGGUUUAAAGGGAGCGUAGGUGGGCGAUUAAGUCAGUUGUGAAAGUUUGGGGCUCAACCUUAAAAUUGCAGUUGAUACUGAUUGUCUUGAGUGCGUUAAAGGUGGGCGGAAUUCGUGGUGUAGCGGUGAAAUGCUUAGAUAUCACGAAGAACUCCGAUUGCGUAGGCAGCUCACCGGGCCGUAACUGACACUGAUGCUCGAAAGUGUGGGUAUCAAACAGGAUUAGAUACCCUGGUAGU
rnacentral:rRNA from 1 species